rnacentral:rRNA from 1 species
GACCAAACGGUCCGCCUUUGGUGAGUACUGUUUUGUGUCGGGUCUAUCCUUCUGGUGAGCUGGUAUGCCCUUUAUUGGGUGUGUCAGGGAACCAGGACCAUUACCUUGAAAAAAUUAGAGUGUUUAAAGCGGGCAUAAGCUUGAAUAGAUUAGCAUGGAAUAAUAGAAUAGGACGUUGUGGUUCUAUUUUGUUGGUUCUAGGACCACCGUA